rnacentral:rRNA from 1 species
UACAGAGGGUGCGAGCGUUGUUCGGAAUUAUUGGGCGUAAAGGGCGCGUAGGCGGUGCGGUAAGUCACCUGUGAAAUCUCCUGGCUCAACUGGGAGCUUGCAGGCGAAACUGCCGUGCUGGAGUGUGGGAGAGGUGCGUGGAAUUCCCGGUGUAGCGGUGAAAUGCGUAGAUAUCAGGAGGAACACCGGUGGUGUAGACGGCUUUCUGGACCGUAACUGACGCUGAGACACGAAAGCGUGGGUAGCAAACAGG